CUUGGGUGCAUGUUCUGGAUCAGAGGAAACAGACGCUCACCUAGAGGAGUGACAGACACAGAGGAUUUAAUACAGAAUGUAAUUAUCACUCCCCAAAGGCCAGUUGCUGAGACAACACCAUGUAAAUACAUGUAUUAUAAACAAUAUACAGUACAGCAGGUAUAGUGGUGGUAUGGUUUUCUUAGCUGGGGAUAGAGGUGGCACAGACUGCAUGAAGGAGGAACAAAAAAAAAAAAAA